CGCCACAAACGAAACGUCGUACAUCGUACAGCUUAAUCUAAGUCGGCUAUGUUUUCCUCCUACGAUUUUGUCGCCGCCACGCAAAAAGUUCUUAUCUUAGUCGGUUACCAUCUUAUAUAUAGGCUUUAUAUUCCCUCAACUACAACACCAACUAUUGAGAUUCUACAAUCUCAGCUGUCGCGUUGGCUGCUCUGAUAAGAUGGUCUCUCCUGCCUUCUUUGCCUCUGGAAAGUUUUUGGCUCAAAAAGCUGGAAUGCAGACAAAUUAAAAUUCUUUGCGUGGUUUGCUGGAUUUUCCAUAUUGUAAGAUGUGAAUCAAGGUUAUGUAUUCAGAAGCGUGGAGAACAUCCGUAGGAAUUUUCUCAUGUUGAAUGAAGAUGUAAUAGGUAUAAUGGGGACAUAAAAGGCCUAAUUUCAGGGGGUCAAGUCCCUUUUAAAUUACUCUCUGUUACAACUCUGGCCUUUGCCAUGUCGGGUGCGCUCUCAUGGCAGGUCGCUCACUUAAUAAAGAUUUGUUUUUGCGGGUUUUGGGGUGGAGAUAGCACGGGAACUUUUUGGCCCGGGAUCUCUACCCUCAUUUCUGUGUGUGUGUGUGUUUUCUUGCUUCUCUAAUUCUUCUCUGCUCCUUACGCUCUACGUAGAUGCAUAAAUUGAUCGUCUGACCUAAGUGCAAAUUCUCAACGAACUAUAUAUCCUUAGUUCGCAGCCCAUCUCAGGUACACAACACGUUUCUGGUUGAACUUGCAAUUGAUUAUAAUGCAUAGUGUUAAGGCAAUAAGAGCUUAUAUUUUGAUUCAUGCCUACUAGAAUUAUUCCAAGUAUUGUCAAUUGAAGCAACCCAAACACAAGACGUUUCUACUUAAUUUGCAAUUGAUAUGUUAUAAUGCAUACUUGUCAGAAAACAAGAGCGAGUAAUAUUAUUAUGCUUAGCAGAAUUAUUCUAAAUUCAUUGCAAUGGAAGCAACACCUAAUUCGGGUUUAAUAUAUGUCGCAAGUUUGUGCAGUUAGCGCUGUAGUGGAUGGCGAAUGCGAUCUCCCAUCUCCCAAAGUGUCGGACAUGAAUUUCAUCACAGUUGUAACCCCAAAAUUAGUAAACCAAUUAUCCUGUGAAAUUGCUUGCUACGGUAUCCACGUGAACUUAUCUAUCUAAUCAGCUAAGCAACUUCUAAGUCGGUUGUUUGUACAUUGGCAGCUGGACCUCAGGUAUGCAUUGUAGGCUUGUAAUUUUGAUUUUGCCCAAAUUCACAACUAAUAAUGCAUGUAAGACGCAGAAAACUAAAUAAUGUAUAGUGCUUUCAACUUGAUGCGUCUAUAAUUUGAUAAAGCGAUUACCUACAUACAGAUGUGAUCUACAGACUUGAAUUUUAAUUGCAGCAGAAUGAAGAGCCGAAUAUCUGCUAGUUAUAGAGUAUCCAAACUGGUAUUGAUUUUUCCUUUCAAUGUUGUCAGUUAUCUGACACUUCUGCAUUAGAGGUGUCAUUGCUCUUCUUUAUCAUUCACCAUAUAUUAUUAUGAGCCCUAGUGAAUUUGUGAUGAAUCUUCGGAACAAAAGAAAAAGAAUUGCGAUGAAUCUUGGAGAAUUUCAAAUAUUAGUUGGAGGUCUGCAAUGGUUAGAACUUUCUGCAACCGAAAACUAGAGAGUUCACCUGCAUCACUUUGUAAAUCUGGUAUUGGUGGCCAUCAUUCUGAUUUCUAGUUAUCGGUUGAAAUUUUUUUGCUGUAGUAAGAUUUUAUCUGUUAAACUUGAAUGCAAUUGGUAUCACAUUCGUGGAGGGCUGGCAUUGGUGGCUGUUGUUCCAAUUAUCUUUUACCAAUACAGAGGAUAUGCCAGAAUUACUUUAGCAGUAGUAUGAAAUUUGAAGGUUAGAUAGCGAUCAUGUUUUCAGUUCAAAUAAAUGAGGUGAAAUUGCUGUUGUAUAGAACAACUUAAUUAUAGUGAUACUUCUGCAUAUCUAAAGAUUUUGAGGAUGUAUGUUAUAAUCAAUUUAAUUUGCUGUUUGAGCUAUCCAUUCUAGUACUGUAGAUGUGCUUUAGCACCAGGCGCUCGGGUUGCUUUUUGCGUGUUUCAUUGUAGGCUUUGGGUUUGUAGAUAAGCAGAGGUUUCUGUUACUGUGCUUUGGUAGUAGUAGAUUGUUGGUAAAUCCAUUGUUAUGUCGAACAGUGAGCAAGUACAAGAUGGAAGGUCUCUUUUCCUGUGUAGAGAGGGUGCAGAUGUCUCGUACACAACAGCAAGGGCGAAUGUUGUUCAAGAUUUUUGUUUUUGUUGCUGUGCAAGCUUUUCUUCGGCUGGUAGCUGGGUAAAACAAGCUAUUCAUGGGGUUGAGUUUGGUCAAUGAUAAUGUUUGGCUGCAAAAGAUACUUGUACUUCUUCAGGCUGAGGAAGUGAUUGAGAUGUCGAAUUGUGAAGGAAAUAUCAGGCUGGGUGUAGUGCGGAAAAUUCAACUUUGCAACCGGAUAAUCUGACUGAAGAAUCCAAAGAAACAACUGGGAGGUUAAAAAGAUUCCGGUGUGUUUGUGUUGAUUGACAACAUAACUCUGUGGGAGCUGAGGGAUUUCAUCUAAGGCAAAGGAAAUAAAGAACAAGUCAUACACCUUCUUGAUCCUGUACAAUUCAUUUAGGAGAGACCUCAGGGCGAGCAUUUAAGCAUCAUGAUUACUAGCCAAAAUAUGUGAGAGACAAUGUGACAAGAGGUUUCGUAGAGUUGUGGAAAAAACAUUUGCAUUCGGGGAUGAAUGAUACACCUAUUUUGAACCUCUUUAUCCAAGGACUUCAAAGGCAAAAUUAAAGGACAUACUCUACAAGAGAUGUAAUGUAAGCCGAUAGAGGACAGGGUAUUCAUAUGUUAUUCCUAUUUUUUACAUUUUUAGGAAGGCUGUCGAUGAUAGGCUGUAAUUACGUAUUUUAGUCGAUUAUUACACUCCAAUUUACUGCA